CAAAAUGUAGCUUAAAUAAAGCAUCUCGCUUACACCGAGAAGAUACCCGCUAAAUCCGAGUCAUUUUGA
rnacentral:tRNA from 2 species